UACAGAGGUCUCAAGCGUUGUUCGGAUUCAUUGGGCGUAAAGGGUGCGUAGGCGGCGCGGUAAGUCGGGUGUGAAAUCUCGGAGCUUAACUCCGAAACUGCAUUCGAUACUGCCGUGCUUGAGGACUGGAGAGGAGACUGGAAUUUACGGUGUAAGCGGUGAAAUGCGUAGAUAAUCGUAAGGAAGACCAGUGGCGAAGGCGGGUCUCUGGACAGUUCCUGACGCUGAGGCACGAAGGUCAGGGGAGCAAACGGGA
rnacentral:rRNA from 1 species